ACCGGGAUGAGCGAGUGAAGGCAACGCGCCUGCGGCUCGAAAUAUGAAGGGGAGAGCCCUUAUAGACCAGGUAGUAUCACGUUUGGUUAGGGGGCCUGUAUAUGGCCCCC
rfam:Salmonella enterica subsp. enterica serovar Typhimurium str. LT2, complete genome.